rnacentral:tRNA from 1 species
GCCCCGGUAGCACAAUUGGUUAGCGCGCCGUACUUAUAAUGCGGAGGUUGUGAGUUCGAGCCUCACCCGGGGCA